UAGGUUGUAGUUUAUAAAGAAUUGGAGCUUUGGGAGCUUUAGGUACCUUAUUGGGUUAAUCUAA
rnacentral:tRNA from 1 species